rnacentral:rRNA from 1 species
GACAGAGGUGCCAAGCGUUAGGCGGAAUCACUGGGCUUAAAGCGUGUGUAGGCGGGUCGUUAAGUACCUUGUGAAAUCCCACGGCUCAACCGUGGAACGGCUGGGUAUACUGGCGAUCUUGAGCCACCUAGGGGCAGUCGGAACAAGUGGUGGAGCGGUGAAAUGCGUAGAUAUCAGGAAGAACACCCGUGGCUAAGGCGGCUCUCUAGUACGGUACUGACGCUGAGACGCGAAAGCGUGGGGAGCGAACAGG